GUGCACGCUUCCACAGCACAUAUACUAAAAUUGCAACAAUACAGAGAAGAUUAGCAUGGCCCCUGCACAAGGAUGACAUGCAAAUUCGUGAAGCAUUCCACAUUUUU
ensembl:snRNA U6 U6 spliceosomal RNA